CGUGAGCAAUCUACCUUGGAGUGGGGAAUAACGGCUGGAAACAGCCGCUAAUACCGCAUGAUGCGUCUGGGCCGCAUGGCUCUGGGCGCCAAAGAUUCAUCGCUCUGAGAUGAGCUCGCGUCUGAUUAGCUAGUUGGCGGGGCAACGGCCCACCAAGGCGACGAUCAGUAGCCGGACUGAGAGGUUGGCCGGCCACAUUGGGACUGAGACACGGCCCAAACUCCUACGGGAGGCAGCAG
rnacentral:rRNA from 1 species